rnacentral:lncRNA from 1 species
GAAAAGUUUAACUCUCUAACUGCUCUCUCAUUUAAUGUAAAAGAGUCACCUUAUUUUCAUAAUCACCCUGUUUAUGGACUAAGUUUGUAUCCCUCCAGAGCUCAUGCCCUUGAAGGCCUGCCUCCCCACAUCAUGGUGUUGGAUGGGGAUGAAGCCUUUGGGAUACAAUGCUGUUUAGAUGAGGUCAUGAUGCCGUUGGGGUUCUGAUAAAAUGAAGACGCCAAAGAGCUUUCUCUACUUGAAGGUUGGGACACAGCCAAAUGGUGGCUCUCCUGAAGCCAGGAUGAAGGUCAGGACCAGAAAACUCGUCUGUAGUCACGUAAUCCCCAGUGUUCCCAGCUUCAGGACCCAGAAGACCAAACACUCCCUCGGUCACCCAGUCUGACAUUGUGUCACAUCCUACAGCCUGAGCAGACCUAACACACCGAGGAAGGAAGUUGUGCGAAAGCUACACGGAUCUCAUACAAACUACAUGUUGAGCUUUGAUCAUCUCCGAGCCUGACCCCAAUGACAAGUGAUCUUUCCUAAUGCUGGGUAGCAGGGGCCCAAGCUACAGCCAUAGCACACAAGCUGCAGCCAUAGCUCAGCCCCAGGAUCCCAAGAGGGGAAAACCAAAUGUUCACCCGUGUUCCACGGCACCUAGCCUGGACACUGGGUCAGCGAAGUGUAUUAAAUGCAUCUUUUGACUUCAUGCUAUUUUCAACUUAUGCUUGUCCACUGAAAAUACUGAGAAACAAACAACCCAGGGACCAUGAGCACUAAGCAUUUGCUACUAAGAAGAAUUGGGGGUCCUUAGCGACAUGGCUUCUUCCAGAUCCAGGACAGACCACAGAAGCUUGGAGUUUCCUUGCUAUUUGGAUGACAGCAAAGAUUGAUGCGGUUAUAUCAGAAGGAAUCAACUGGCUAAACAUGGUUAAAA